CUGAGGAAAGCUACACAAGCAGUGGUUCAGAGACCCAGAGAUGUACCUUAAGUUCCUAGAAGAGACACAUGAAAAAAUCUAAAAUCUUCAGUCAGGUUCCAGGUUGUUCAUCUACGCAUUCUACAGGAGCAAUGUUAAAUACCGGUAUGAGGUUUUCAACAAACAAAUGCAUUCAAGGCCAGGCUAUUAAGACUUGGAGACAUCAGUGUCUACAGAAGCAGCAAAGUACUUUGAAGUGUGUUUGUGAAACAUUAUAGCUUUGAAAGAAUCUGUGGUGUCUAAACUUAGUCUUCAAAGACUUCAACAGGAGUGACAAAAACAUUCUGGAUUGGGAAAUGACUCUGAGCAAAUACCUGUAUAAAAGCAUAAUUGCAUGGAUAUCAGUAAUACAUGUACUGAAAACAAAAGACUGAAUUUUCUUUUACUUUUAGAAAUAUUUCUCUACAUUUCAAGUGUUAUCCC
rnacentral:lncRNA from 1 species